rnacentral:lncRNA from 1 species
UUUGUCUCUCUACCUCUCUCCAUCUCUCUCUCCCUCUCUCAAUCCUCUUCGAGUCGUCUUCUACCUUCUCUCUCUCCUUUCUCUCUCACAGAUCCGACCCCGUUCUCCCUCCCUCUCUCUGGUCUCUCUAUCUAUCUCUCUCUGUGCUUCAGAUCCAGAUCGACACUCGUCUCUCUCUCUCUCUACCUCUUCUGAUUUUUUCCAACUCUUAUUCACUAUUUGUACACUCUUCAUCUGCCAUACGUUUUU